AGAACGAACGCUGGCGGCAGGCCUCAAACAUGCAAGUCUAGGGGGGUAGCAAUACCCACCGGCGGACGGGUGCGUAACGCGUGGGAAUAUACCUUUCGGUACGGAACAACUGCGGGAAACUGCAGCUAAUACCGUAUACGUCCUAACGGAGAAAGAUUUAUCGCCGAAGGAUUAGCCCGCGUCCGAUUAGCUAGUUGGUGAGGUAAUGGCUCACCAAGGCUCCGAUCGGUAGCUGUUCUGAGAGGAAGAUCAGCCACACUGGGACUGAGACACGGCCCAGACUCCUACGGGAGGCAGCAGUUGGGAAUCUUGGACAAUGGGGGAAACCCUGAUCCAGCCAUGCCGCGUGAGUGAUGAAGGCCUUCGGGUUGUAAAACUCUUUCGACGGGGACGAUAAUGACGGUACCCGUAGAAGAAGCUCCGGCUAACUUCGCGCCAGCAGCCGC
rnacentral:rRNA from 1 species